rnacentral:rRNA from 1 species
CACGUAGGCACCAAGCGUUGUCCGGAUUUAUUGGGCGUAAAGAGCUCGUAGGCGGUUCAGUAAGUCGGGUGUGAAAACUCUGGGCUUAACCCAGAGCCGCCACCCGAUACUGCUGUGACUUGAGUCCGGUAGGGGAGUGGGGAAUUCCUAGUGUAGCGGUGAAAUGCGCAGAUAUUAGGAGGAACACCGGUGGCGAAGGCGCCACUCUGGGCCGGUACUGACGCUGAGGAGCGAAAGCGUGGGUAGCAAACAGGAUUAGAUACCCUGGUAGUCCACGCCGUAAACGUUGGGCACUAGGUGUGGGCCUCAACCAACGAGGUCCGUGCCGUCGCUAACGCAUUAAGUGCCCCGCCUGGGGAGUACGGCCGCAAGGCUAAA